ACAGGUGGGCGAGAUGAGUAUUCUAAGGCGCUUGAGAGAACUCGGGAGAAGGAACUCGGCAAAUUGGUACCGUAACUUCGGGAAAAGGUACGCCCUUGUAGCUUGGCUGAUUUACUUCAGUAGGGCGAACGGGUUGCAAUAAACUGGUGGCUGCGACUGUUUAAUAAAAACACAGCACUCUGCAAACACGAAAGUGGACGUAUAGGGUGUGACGCCUGCCCGGUGCUGGAAGAUUAAAUGAUGGGGUGCAAGCUCUUGAUUGAAGUCCCAGUAAACGGCGGCCGUAACAAUAACGGUCCUAAGGUAGCGAAAUUCCUUGUCGGGUAAGUUCCGACCUGCACGAAUGGCGUAACGAUGGCCACACUGUCUCCUCCCGAGACUCAGCGAAGUUGAAGUGUUUGUGAUGAUGCAAUCUACCCGCGGCUAGACGGAAAGACCCCAUGAACCUUUACUGUAGCUUUGCAUUGGACUUUGAAUCAAUCUGUGUAGGAUAGGUGGGAGGCUUUGAAGCGGGGACGCCAGUUCUCGUGGAGCCAACCUUGAAAUACCACCCUGGUUCAUUUGAGGUUCUAACCUUGGCCCGUUAUCCGGGUCGGGGACAGUGCAUGGUAGGCAGUUUGACUGGGGCGGUCUCCUCCUAAAGUGUAACGGAGGAGUUCGAAGGUACGCUAGGUACGGUCGGACAUCGUGCUAAUAGUGCAAUGGCAUAAGCGUGCUUAACUGCGAGACUGACAAGUCGAGCAGGUACGAAAGUAGGACAUAGUGAUCCGGUGGUUCUGUAUGGAAGGGCCAUCGCUCAACGGAUAAAAGGUACUCUGGGGAUAACAGGCUGAUUCCUCCCAAGAGUUCAUAUCGACGGGGGAGUUUGGCACCUCGAUGUCGGCUCAUCACAUCCUGGGGCUGUAGCCGGUCCCAAGGGUAUGGCUGUUCGCCAUUUAAAGUGGUACGUGAGCUGGGUUUAAAACGUCGUGAGACAGUUUGGUCCCUAUCUGCCGUGGGCGUUGGAAAUUUGAAGGGGGCUGCUCCUAGUACGAGAGGACCGGAGUGGACAGACCUCUGGUGUACCGGUUGUCACGCCAGUGGCAUUGCCGGGUAGCUAAGUUUGGAAGAGAUAACCGCUGAAAGCAUCUAAGCGGGAAACUUGCCUUAAGAUGAGAUUUCCCAGAGCCUUGAGCUCUUUGAAGGGUCGUUCGAGACCAGGACGUUGAUAGGUCAGGUGUGGAAGU
rnacentral:rRNA from 1 species